GUCACUUUGGCCGAGUGGUUAAGGCGAUAGACUAGAAAUCUAUUAUCUUCGGAUGCACAGGUUCGAGUCCUGUAGGUGACG
rnacentral:tRNA from 1 species